CCUUGCUCGCCUCAUGGCCGGCUAUAUAAUGGUCCAGCUCCGGCCAAGGCCCCUACCUCCAAGCACAACGAACAGAUCGAGAUCCAGAGAGAGAAGAGAUUACAGGCACAUACUGAGAGAAAAUGCCGCUGACUGGUGAGGUGAAGUGGUUCAACGAGUCCAAGGGAUUCGGCUUCAUCACCCCCGAGGACGGCAGCAAGGACGUCUUCGUCCACUUCUCGGCAAUCACCGACGUCGGCUUCAAGACCCUCGCCGAGGGCCAGCGUGUGGAAUUCACCAUCGAAACCGGCGCAAAAGGUCCGUCCGCCGCCAAUGUCAGGGCCAUAUAGGAGGACUAUACUAUCGGCAUCCUUUUGUAAUUUGCUUC
rnacentral:other from 1 species